AUGUUGAUUACCAAUCAUGUCCUAACUGAUUCACGCGAAGGAGAAACACUACUUGUACAUAAUUCAAAGUUUCAUUCUUUUACUUCUAUUUUCAAUUGUCUUUAUAGACUAUCUGCAAUCACAUCUUCUUAUCAUAGUUUCUGCAAUCUUGAAAUUCAAUUUGUGUUAGAGGCUUCAGUUCUUAUAACAUAUGGGGCUCGAUUUAUCAUCAUAUAUUAUAUAGACAUAAAAUGCCGAUAUGCAUUGUGCUUUUGCAUAUUGUUAUUGUGUUUAUUCCUAUCAGAAGUUAAAUAUCAUAAAUCUCAAAGUUUCACUGUCAGUUUUGGUCAUUUUUUACAGAUUCCUGAAGCUUUACAGGUUGGGCUCACCAAUGUAGUGAAGUAG
rnacentral:rRNA from 1 species